rnacentral:rRNA from 1 species
UACAGAGGUCUCAAGCGUUGUUCGGAUUCAUUGGGCGUAAAGGGCGCGUAGGCGGCCUGAUAAGUAGGGGGUGAAAUCCUGCGGCUUAACCGCAGGGCUGCCUUCUAAACUGUCGGGCUAGAGCACGGUAGAGGCAGAUGGAAUUCCCGGUGUAGCGGUGGAAUGCGUAGAGAUCGGGAAGAACAUCAGUGGCGAAGGCGGUCUGCUGGGCCGUUGCUGACGCUGAGGCGCGACAUCGUGGGGAGCAAACAGG